rnacentral:lncRNA from 1 species
GAAAUCACGUAACCUCUCUGGACCAUGGUCACCUCCCUUGGGAAAAAAUCUUCUAGGGUUGUUGGGAGGCGCAGAGGAGGCGGCGUGCGCGGCAACUCCUCCUGGCGCGUUUGCCUCGACCCUAAAUUGCCAAGCUUCGAGGAGCCAGGAGGCCCGAGAGCCGGGGCUGGAGGAGACACCCGACCCUGCCCCGCCGUUCCCCUCUCCCGCACGCACGGAAAAUACUCCAGUGAGCUGAGAAGGUUCAGAUGCACCCGGCAUUCCCCCAGGCGCCCUCCCGUGCGGGAGGUCCUGGAUACUUCGCCCAAAUCCUGGGGACGGGGGAAGGAUUCCCAGGCCCAUUUCGCAGAUGAGAAAACUAAGGGAGAAGAGUGGUGACAAGUUCAAACCGAGGCCCCAACCACGGGGACCGAACCUCUGCCGGAGCUCCCGAGGCUGCAGGAUCCUAGACCCAGCGUACCCGGGAACGUGCCCCGCGCCAGCUCAGAGCCCGCCCGGGUGCCUGCGCGCAACCCUGCGCUCGCCCGGAAUUCCUAGGCCGACCUGCGGCCUCUGGGGCUAGAAACCGAGCAGAGCGCCCCAGACUCGGUUUCCACACUGCGCGAAGGUCUCUAUCUGUGGAGACGUCCUCUCUUCCCAGAGUCUAAUGCCAGGGGUCGUCAUAGGGGCUGUGAAGGCGCUCACAUUCUGGCAGCUCAAAAUUAGUUCUACAAACCGCAUCUACACGAGCGCGGCGAUUUCUGAGAAGGAUGGCAAUGCCUCCAUCCCCCACCUGGCCUCCUGUGGGAAAAACAGAUCUGUCCUGUGUGUUCAAAGCGACACCCCCUCUGUCGCCGAAUCUCCUGUUGUCACCUUUGAAAGUUGCUGCUGUAAAACCGCCAUCAAACUGAAAAGCAACUGUGUAACGUGAAGAGACGGCA